ensembl:lncRNA
GCCGGCCUCCCCUUUCCUUCUGCUCCCAUCUCAAAGCAGCUCCCACUUUUUUGUGUGAAGGGGGAGACAGUGCUGAGAUGCAGCAGGGCUCCCAGCCCAGUGCCCACCCUGUGGUCUUGCUGCCGCCUGAAGAAGCUGUCUCUGGACCCCUGGUGCUGUGCUACUCCUGGAAGAGAAGGCUGUGCCCCAGCUUGUGUUAAGAAGAGAGGGGCAAGCGGUGUCUGCAACCUGUCUUCUUUCCAUGGGCACAGAGGGGACCAGCUCUCUGGAGAAGGAAAUGCUCACAGCCCCCCGCUUGGCUGGGGUGCUCUGCCCAAAGGGAGGGCUCGUCCUCCUCUCUCCCUUUCAGAACUUGAAGGCUGCUCCAUUUACAUCAGCAGUAUCCAAGCCAUGAUUCUUGUUCCAGAAGGGAGUGUAAGCAGUCACAGAUUUACAGAAUUACAGAUGUAUUCCUUAUACCAUCAGAAAACAAGGUCUACUAUUCUUGAGAUGCAACGCACUGGCAUUGGUUCAACAACUAACACCUCUUCAAAGAGAGCAGUCACUAAAAUCAGCUCAUUAUUCAAGUGCAAGGGAAAAAGACAAGACAGAAAUUGGACGAUGGGGAUUUUUAAGGGUCAUCAGAAACACCAUCUCACAAGUCACCUUCAUUAGGUUAAGGAUCCAAAGGACAACUAAGCACAGUGUGGAAGUACAUGGGGGCUGGGAGUCACUACCUCUUGCAGAAGCCAGAUGUGAUCCAUCAGGUGCCUAGUGGUGCUUGGCUUUUUUGUGUGACAGUGGCUUGCACCCAGUGGUGGCUCCAUGGCUCCCAGCAGGAGGGAGCUCUGUGUCCCUUCUUGGGAGGACCAUCCAAAAGGGCUCCAAUAGGCUUUGUUGAAGGUUGCUGCUUUGCCUAGAGUGCCUGGUAUGAAGGUUGGCAGAUGAACAGGGUUCUUGCUUCAGAGCUCAGGUUUUAACUUCCAUGGCUAAACUCCCCCUAAGCCUCAUGUUAGAGGCCUGGAUGCUCUUUGAGUCUGACCCAUGCCUCUCCCUUCCUUAAGCUGGCAGGUAAUGUGGCAUUUCAAGGGCAAGGAGUAUUACACUUUUCCAGAAUGAACACUGACACAAACAUCCAGAUUUCUUGUGUGAGUGGAGUACAUGAAAUAUAACUCUUAAAAUGUUAAUAGUACCAGUACAAACCAAAGCCACGUUAUCAUUACUGCUGUCAUGACUGCAGUCUCCCCCUUUGGCUGCACUGGGACUGCUGGCAGGAUCACGGCCUUGAUACAGAUCGCUGUUGCUUUUGUGAGGAAACAAGUGGCACCAAAUCUUCCUUUUUCUACCAUAACUAUUGAAUUUAAGGAACAGUAAAUUGCAUUUGCUCAAAACUGCAGUAAAUAUCUACCUUGGCAGGGGGUGGAAAGCAGGGAAGAACUCCAAAUAUGUAAAUCAGAAUCCUUCCUUCUUGUCUUUCCCAGGGCAAGGCACCCAUAAAAACUAAAAAAAUCAGUGUAAAGACAUUGCUGAAUGGGGUGGCACUCUCUGCUUAUCAGACAACUGGAAAAAGAGUAGAACAACUGAAUGAAGUUGUUUUACAUUGAUUAAGGGAAAAUAUAUUGAGACUAAUUCUGUAAUAACUGUUUAAAAAACACAUUUUUAAAAAAGAUUUUGUUACUAAGAGGUAAAAUACAGUUGUCACCUUUUCAGUAUAUUAUAUAUGAAGAAAUUGGUGUGUCCUGUACCAAUUUUAUCACUGGCACAAUAACGACCUCAGGCUUUAAGAGUCUGCCAUAUCAUUCAAAGCAUAGUUGAACAUUUGACACAUUUCUUAUAAGUAAGGCUUUUUUUCCUCUGCCCUUUGUGAUAUAUGUGAGGAUAUAAAACACUUUAAUAACAUGAGGUCCAUGUAGACAAACACUGUAUUUUUUAGGGGCAGACCAGAUUAAAAAAGGAUUAAACAUUCACAUAUAUCAUGUUAGAUAAUGGAUUUAUCAGGUGUGUUUGAUGGCAUAUGCCAGCCAGUAGCUGCCUACAGUCAGGAAGAAAUUUCAUAUGUGAUAGUCUGUUACAUCUCAAUAGUAUGUGUGAUGCCUUAUACUUCUGAGCUGUGAGGUUCUGGCUACUGCUAGGAUACUUCAUGAGGAGCUACUUGAUCUGGUGAGCACAGCAUAUCUUUAAUAUUUUUUAUAUCCUUAAUAACAGUAUUGUUUCAGGAGUUUACAGAGAAAUCUUUUUUAGCAGUAGUGUUACCAAAGAUCUAAACAGUGUUGUUAUCCCUACUAGUUUUUUAUCCUGUUUUGUGUUUGUGUGUGCAUGUUUGUCUCUGCUUCCCAUUACUAUCAAUCUCAUACUGAAGUACACACAAUGAUAGCGUCAAGACUGUUUGCGCUUUCCUGUAUGGAUGUGCUAAAUAGGUACUGAAGAGCAGUGCUUGUGCAAGUGGUUCUCAUGUAUGGUCUCAUUAGGUGGCAUCUGGGGUGAUGCAGUCUCCAGAUGCUAAUCCCUUGCUUUUAAAAGAAAGAUGAGUAUUAUGGAUUGGCAAAAUAAAAGCUGUCCUGAGUGAGACGGUGGGAUCUAG